rnacentral:rRNA from 1 species
UCGUGCCGGUGUACUUCCCCGUGGGCGGGCCAGCGUCGGUUUGGGCGGCCGGUCAAAGGCCCUCGGAAUGUAUCACCUCUCGGGGUGUCUUAUAGCCGAGGGUGCAAUGCGGCCUGCCUGGACCGAGGAACGCGCUUCGGCUCGGACGCUGGCGUAAUGGUCGUAAAUGACCCGUCUUGUAACACGGACCAA